CAGUAAAAACUAAUUUUUAACCUUGGAGCUGCGUCUUACAACUCAGGUUCGCACAGUAUUAUCAGUAAAUCUAGUACUGAAUUGGGUAACAGAUAAAGAUCCAUACUGUUUGAAGAUUGAUGCUCUGGUUUUUUAAACUAGAAUUGAGGUUUCUGUCUUUGGUCUCAAAAACUUAAGCAUCUCAUCCUUAGUUCUAAAUCAAGUCCAUAUUUUGGGUUAUAGUUGAAUGUGGGUGUAAUGGAAUUGCUAUUGCUAUUGGAACUUUGUUUUAUAAACAUCCAGAAUUCAUUCAUUCAUUACUAAGAAGAGUGUUAGCAUAGCAGAAGUAAUAUUUUCCUAAAUGUUUUCUUCAUACUGAUUAAUUUUGUAUCUGAUAAGUGGAUUUAGACAUUAUUAGCAAAGUAAUUUAGUCCCUGUGGGAAUAUUAUUAAUAUUCUCAUUGUAUAGUAUUAGAUAUUUAGCAUUUACAGAACUGAAAAUUUGUAAAGGACUUCUUUUGGUUUGUGUUUUGCAGUACUGAGGAUCAAACCCAAGACCUCCGGCAUGUUAGGCAAGUACUAUAUCACUAACUCCGUCCCCUGCCACUGACAGAACAUUUUUCAAUGACUAUUUAAUAAAGUCUUUAUUAAAAAAAAUACUGACAUCAUUUUCAAAAUCUGAAGCUCAUUGCUGUAGUGCACUAUCACUAAAAUUGAUAUGAUGCUUCUUGUAAAAGCUAGCUAGAAGCUGGAGCACAUACCUGUAAUCCCAGCAAUUAAGGAGGCUGAGACAAGAGAAUGCAGUUUGAGGCCAGUCUCAGCAACAGCAAGAUCCUGUCUCAGAGGACAGGAUUUAGUCAAUGGUAAAGUGCCCCUGGGUUCAGUUCCCAGUACCUAAAAAAAAAGCUAAAGUGAUUGGUACAUAAGAAAUUGAAGGUCUAGGAUCACGGAAUGUUUCAAGUGUUUACUGUUAAGUUAUUCUAAACUAUACUCGAUUAGAAUUUAAUGUUCAAUUAUUUUAAACUGUAGUCAAAGAAGCAAAACUAGUUUUUUGUUAUUUUGUGUUUUAACAGGGAUGGACCUUGAUUGUGUGAGACGAUUAAGCAGUCUCAGUAAGGCUUUUGUCUUUGCACCUGAUGCUGCAGUUUAAAGUCCACAGGCAGCUGGAAAGUGAAGAUUUGUGAUUAAGGCUAGAAUUCUUCACCGUAGAGGUCAUAAGCACAUACAACUGGUUCAAAAUUAUGAAGAGCUGAAGUAGAAUCCAUGAGGAGCAGAUCAACCACAAUAUGUAUGAAAAUAUAGCAACUUUGGUAAGGAUGUAUUUUGUUCAUUUUAGAAAACAGCAAAGGCAUACUGUAUCCACUAUUAAUCAGAGAUAUUUCACCCUAAGCAUAGGCUAUUUUAAAGACUAGCAUACAAGCAAGCCUUUGAAUUUACCUGAAAAUUCUUUCUCCCAAGUUUUUACAAGCACAUUGCUUGCCAAAAAAAAAAAAAAAAAUGAGGAAAA